UUGCCUCCGCCAUCCUACCACUCUCUUUCUCUCGCUGCUUUUUUCGUAAAAGGCGACCACGAAAAUACGCAUCACUUCACUGGGUGUUUGGGCAAAUGAAGGCCACUUGUCUGGAGUUCAUUUUAGUAGCGGUAUCUUUUAGAGGUCGGGUUUUUUUUGCCGGAAGAGUAGAUACAACUGUGGCCUGAAGAAGUUUAAGUGUCCUAAGGUAGCAACCUGCAGCUGCAACAACCUCUGGGUCCUUCCUCCCAUCAGAGUUCUUCUCACCCUCCCACCUCGCCUACCCAGUGUUCAGACUACCUGUUCAUCCAGAUACAGCUGAACAGUAGUCUGCACAUUGGUUAGGCUAGACUGGGACACACCUCCUGCCACCCCACCGUGGGUAAUGACAAAAAACCUCCACUUGAAGGAGUUUAUAUCUACAGUGCCAAAUACAGCAUCUUCAUCUUUAUGUGUUCCAGUUGUGCUGUGGUAUGACGUCUUAGCCAGCUAUAUCCCUUUGUAUCCGGUGAAAUACAGCACUGGAGCAGAAAUUCUUCUCACCUCCUCAUCUUUGUACCAGGACAGGGACUCAGCGGUCAGGACAAACCAGUAUUCCUUGGAGCCUCCUUUCAUGAUGCUGAUGUUGAUGGUUAGCCAGCCUUUUCUGAUCACCUACAGUGAGGAGAAGAUGUGGGAGAGAGGAGGGUGGUAGGGAAAGAAGGGUACCAGGAGGAUGGAGGAAAACAGCUUCAUAAAUCAGGCUCAUGCAUGGUGAAAUUUGGGCUCCAUUAAGUGUUUUGCUCUUAUUUCUAGGAUGCGACUAACACUAAUAAAAUUUUGCUGACUUACCUGUUAAGUCAAA